AUUGACCUUACCUGGUGUGGACUGAAGUUUGGAGAGUCACUUCGCCUCCACUCUUCUCCUAAUCAGCUCUGUUCCUGGCGUGGUCUUCCAGGAUAGACGCCAGAUAAAGGGGCAAGACGUGUUAAUAAUACUUAUUAACAUUAUUCUACAACUACCGGCCCUUACCUAUUCUACUUGUGCUCCAUCCAAGUGGUAGGAGAUUCCAGAACAUCGGAUUACCAUCUGCCCAGGAUAACCUACAUAAAUAACAUCAGAGGAACUAUCCAGGGCCAUACCUACUCCUACCCAACUACAUGAACUGAAGGCCAUUUUUUUUUA